UCUCUGGUCGUAUAUCGGUUAGUACACGCGCUUGUCACCGACGGCCAUUUGUGUGCAGACCGCGCGAAAGCGGGGUUCGACUCCCCGCCAGAGAG